UACGUAGGAGGCGAGCGUUGUCCGGAAUCACUGGGCGUAAAGGGCGCGUAGGCGGCUCAUGAAGGCUGUGGUGAAAGUCCGGGGCUCAACCUCGGAUCGGCCGUGGCGACUCGUGGGCUGGAGCACUGUAGAGGCGGGUGGAAUUCCGGGUGUAGCGGUGGAAUGCGUAGAGAUCCGGAAGAACACCAGUGGCGAAGGCGGCCCGCUGGGCAGUGGCUGACGCUGAAGCGCGACAGCGUGGGGAGCAAACAGG
rnacentral:rRNA from 1 species